UAUUGUUCUGUUUCCUCACAUUUUCUUUGUAAUUGGUAGAGAUACGAUGAAGCCAAAACUGUACAAAAGCUGCUGCAAGUCUGCCUGUGACAGGGCUGUAGCUGCACACACAGCUGCAGUUUGGGGUCAGGCUUCAGGCUUGCUGGGAGCACUGUGCUUCUGCAGCACAGAGGUAAAAAAGAUUGAUGAAGCUGCCCCUGGGAUUCUUCCGGAACCACUGCACACUUCUCAUGGUGGUAGAAAAAUUGCAUCUCAGAGCAGAACUGGUUCCCUCAUGGAGACUCAGGACUGAAGGACUCUGCUCCACCUCAUCUCCUCUCACCCCUGUUUAGAAACAAAAGCAAACCAGAAUCAUCCACACCUGUCUAAUAUCCCAGGAGACACCAUGAGGUAACUGCACAGGAGCUUUGGGUUGACUCAUUCCCCUUCUACCACUGACAUUUCUGGAGAAUCCCUAAGGCAACUUGAAUGGGCACAACUCACAGCAAAUCCACAACCACAGAAUCCCCAGCACAGCUCCCAGGUUCCUCUCCAUGAUGCCUGUCCAGUUGCUGGGAUGCCUUCUCUCCAGUUAUGAAGGUGUUAAGUUUUGUGCCCAGAUACACUUGUGCUUACACACAGCAGGUUCUCUUCAAAUCACUGAGUUUCCUCUUUCAUUGGAACAAGAAACCCCACCCACCUCUACCUCAUGACUACAGGCAAUUGCUCCACAACUGUGGAAGAUAAUGAUGUAGAGCCCAGGACACUGUAUUUCUAAUAUAACACUUCAUAUAAGGGGAGUUUGGGGAAAAUGUGCGAGGGAGGGGAAUUCAUAAAUGCAGAAUACUGGUGUGAAAACUGAUGGUUCCAGUGAGUUAGAAGAGCCUUGCAGAAUCCUAGCAAGAUUUUUUUUGACCUUUUUUUGUCUUAAUUUUUUUUCAUAUACAAUAUGUUCUGAUCAUUGCCUCCUCUCCUCUAUCACCUCCAAGAACUUCUAAACACCUUCUCACCCACCCAACUCCAUGCUCUUUCUUUUUCUCUCUCUUUAGAAAUCAAAAAGCAAACAAAAUCCAAACAAAGCAGAAUUUAAAAAAAAAAGAAGAAACACACACACACACAAAUCUCUUAAAAACAUAAAAUACAUACAAACACAGACAAAAGACCAAUAAGACAAAAAAAAAAAAAAACAUGCUCAAGCUUAGCAAUGUGAGGCAAUAACAUCAUUGGAUUCAUUCUGUGCUGGCGAUCUACUGUUGGGCAUGUGCCCACCCUUCCGUGUGAUCAAUAAACCCAACAUGAAAGUU